GGCUGGUCUGAAGGUAGUGAGUUAUCUCAAUUGACUGUUCAGUCAGUUACAGAUCAAACUCCUUGUUCUACUCUUUCCCCACUUCUCACUAUGCACUUGACUAGUCUUAA
rnacentral:Y_RNA from 13 species